GAAGGAGUGACUGCACUGGUGGACAAAGGCUGGGGUGCAGAUGAACUUUAUCUGGACAUUCUGUAAAGCCUUUAAUGUGGAAUGAUGGCAUUAAUGGGAAUUGAGUAAGCACCUCUGCUUGAAGAGAAUUGAUAUGAAGAUGAGAAAGUGGUGCCAGAUCAAGCUCCAUUGAAAGAGUGUUUGUGGCAGAUAUCCAAAGACUACUGAAAGAAGGGACCUGAGGAAGUAAACAUCCACCAGGAAACAACCAGGAGAUCAGGCCCAUCCAGCCUGGGUUUAGGAAAGGCACGUGCUGCAUGACCAACCUGAUCUCUUUGUAUGACCAGGUGACCCACCUGGUAGAGGAGGGAAAGGCUGUGGAUGAAGUCUACCUGGCAUUCUCCUGGAGAAGCUGGCAGCCCACAGCUCGGACAGGUUCACUC